CGCCUUGCCAGCCCGCUCAGAAACUCAAAGGAAUUGACGGGGGCCCGCACAAGCGGUGGAGCAUGUGGUUUAAUUCGAUGAUACGCGAGGAACCUUACCAGGGCUUGACAUACACCGGAACGGGCGUGAAAGCGUCCGGCCCUUCGGGGCCGGUGUACAGGUGCUGCAUGGCUGUCGUCAGCUCGUGCUGUGAAGUGUUGGGUUAAGUCCCAUAACGAGCGCAACCCCUACCUUUAGUUGCCAUCAGGUAAUGCUGGGGACUCUAAAGGAACUGCCUACGCAAGUAGUGAGGAAGGCGGGGAUGACGUCAAAUCAGCACGGCCCUUACGUCCAGGGCUACACACGUGCUACAAUGGCCGAUACAGAGGGCAGCUACCUGGUGACAGGAUGCAAAUCUCCAAAGUCGGUCUCAGUUCGGAUCGGAGUCUGCAACCCGACUCCGUGAAGUUGGAUUCGCUAGUAAUCGCGCAUCAGCCAUGGCGCGGUGAAUACGUUCCCGGGCCUU
rnacentral:rRNA from 1 species